AUGAAAACACCCCUGAAAACACCAUAACAACUGAAAGUAUUGGAGGUAAGAGAGAGCAAAACAUUUGGGAGUGCAGUUUAUUAUCUGUCUCCCAUACAGGACUGGUGGUGUAUCCCUCACAUCUGGUCAUCAAGGAGUACCCCAUGGUCAGGUCCCUGCACACCGAUCUGUUCUGAUGGAAGCAGUUGGAGGGUGUGGAGGAUGUGUUGGAGGAUGGAGUGCUGAGUAUGUUGCUGCAGUCAGUGGACAUGCUGGCUGCUGGCUGACGGAGUGUACUGUGGCCCCGUUGAUUUCACUCUCAGCAAUGACUCCAAGAAGACCAUAGCAGAGUACCAGUCACUUUCAUUUAAGUUUUCUAUUCAUUUCACUAAUUCUUUUCACUCUCUAUUUCUUAUAGCCAUUUUCACUACUCUUUCUUAUUCUCCUCUCUCCCUCCAUGUCUCACAGCCAUUUUCAUCGUCCUUUUCUAGUUCACUAAUUCUUCUCACUUCCUCUGCUUCAAGAUAACUGGACCACAGGAGCAUGUUGCCACAGCUCUAGGGAAACUGUGCACAUCCCUCAGCAGUAACAUAGCUAUCCCAGUAGUGACAGGAUAUUUGGACACUCACUACAAUGCAAGGAAAGUUUACGUCAAGGACCAGAUCUUGUGCUGCUCUUGGAGAAACAUUGUGCAUCUCUUGAACGAGAGCGAGACUGGGGACCCUCUUCUAGAUAAUCAGAAUGGUUC